UAAGUGUGGCUAUGGCACUAUUUUGCCAGAG
rnacentral:piRNA from 1 species